GCAUUGAUGGUUCAGUGGUAGAAUUCUCGCUUCCCACGCGGGAGACCUGGGUUCAAUUCCCGGCCAAUGCA
rfam:Oryctolagus cuniculus chromosome 13, whole genome shotgun sequence.